AGCAGCCGCGGUAAUUCCAGCUCCAAUAGCGUAUAUUAAAGUUGUUGCAGUUAAAAAGCUCGUAGUUGAAUUUCGGGGUUAGUAGGUUGGUCAUGCCUCUGGUAUGUACUGGUCUCACUGAUUCCUCCUUCCUGAUGAACCUUAAUGCCAUUUAUUUGGUGUUUUGGGGAAUUUGGACUGUUACUUUGAAAAAAUUAGAGUGUUUAAAGCAAGCUAACGCUUGAAUACAUUAGCAUGGAAUAAUGAAAUAGGACGUUCGAUCCUAUUUUGUUGGUUUCUAGGAUUGACGUAAUGAUUAAUAGGGAUAGUUGGGGGCAUUAGUAUUCAAUUGUCAGAGGUGAAAUUCUUGGAUUUAUUGAAGACUAACUACUGCGAAAGCAUUUGCCAAGGAUGUUUUCAUUAAUCAAGAACGAAAGUUAGGGAUCGAAGACGAUCAGAUACCGUCGUAGUCUUAACCAUAAACUAUAGCCGACUAGGGAUCGGAUGAUGUUAAUUUUUAUGUACUCAUUCCGGCGCCGUU
rnacentral:rRNA from 1 species